rnacentral:rRNA from 1 species
GAAACUCGCCUACAUGAAGCUGGAAUUGCUAGUAAUCACAGGUCAGCAUACUGUGGUGAAUACGUUCCCGGGCCUUGUACACACCGCCCGUCACACCAUGAGAGUUGGGAAUACCCGAAGCCUGUGAGCUAACAAUAAGAGGCAGCAGUCGAAGGUAGAAUCAAUGAUUGGGGUGAAGUCGUAACAAGGUACC